ensembl:snoRNA SNORD22 Small nucleolar RNA SNORD22
UCCCAGUGAAGAAACAUUCAUGUCUCAUUCCCUGUUCUAGUCCCAAAGCCUGUAAAGGUGAACCCACUGGGGUUGGCUGGGGGAGGAGAGGAAAGCUCAUUCCAGAAGUAACUGUCUGAGGGAU